rnacentral:rRNA from 1 species
AGCAGCCGCGGUAAUUCCAGCUCCAAUAGCGUAUAUUAAAGUUGUUGCAGUUAAAAAGCUCGUAGUUGAAUUUCGGGAUCAGUACGCUGGUCGUGCCUUUGGUAUGUACUGGUGUCACUGAUUCCUCCCUUCUGAAGAACCGUUAUGCCAUUUAUUUGGUGUGGCGGGAAAUCAGGACUGUUACUUUGAAAAAAUUAGAGUGUUUAAAGCAGGCUCGCGCUUGAAUACAUUAGCAUGGAAUAAUGAAAUAGGACGUUUGAUCUUAUUUUGUUGGUUUCUAGGAUCGACGUAAUGAUUAAUAGGGAUAGUUGGGGGCAUUAGUAUUCAAUUGUCAGAGGUGAAAUUCUUGGAUUUAUUGAAGACUAACUACUGCGAAAGCAUUUGCCAAGGAUGUUUUCAUUAAUCAAGAACGAAAGUUAGGGGAUCGAAGACGAUCAGAUACCGUCGUAGUCUUAACCAUAAACUAUGCCGACUAGGGAUCGGAUGAUGUUAAUUUUUAAUGACUCAUUCGGCGUCCG